UACGGGGGGGGCAAGCGUUGUUCGGAAUUACUGGGCGUAAAGGGCUCGUAGGUGGCCAACUAAGUCAGACGUGAAAUCCCUCGGCUUAACCGGGGAACUGCGUCUGAUACUGGGUGGCUUGAGUUCGGGAGAGGGAUGCGGAAUUCCAGGUGUAGCGGUGAAAUGCGUAGAUAUCUGGAGGAACACCAAUGGCGAAGGCAGCUCGCUGGGACGUGACUGACGCUGAGACGCGAAAGCGUGGGGAGCAAACAGG
rnacentral:rRNA from 1 species